GAUGAACGCUGGCGGCGUGCCUAAUACAUGCAAGUAGAACGCUGAAGGAAGGAGCUUGCUCUUUCCGGAUGAGUUGCGAACGGGUGAGUAACGCGUAGGUAACCUGCCUGGUAGCGGGGGAUAACUAUUGGAAACGAUAGCUAAUACCGCAUAACAGUAGAUGUUGCAUGAUAUCUACUUAAAAGGUGCAAUUGCACCACUACCAGAUGGACCUGCGUUGUAUUAGCUAGUUGGUGAGGUAACCGCUCACCAAGGCGACGAUACAUAGCCGACCUGAGAGGGUGAUCGGCCACACUGGGACUGAGACACGGCCCAGACUCCUACGGGAGGCAACAGUAGGGAAUCUUCGGCAAUGGACGGAAGUCUGACCGAGCAACGCCGCGUGAGUGAAGAAGGUUUUCGGAUCGUAAAGCUCUGUUGUAAGAGAAGAACGAGUGUGAGAGUGGAAAGUUCACACUGUGACGGUAUCUUACCAGAAAGGGACGGCUAACUACGUG
rnacentral:rRNA from 1 species